AUAGAGUGUAGUCAUCAGUCCAAAAUAGGAUCUAACAGGAGUGGUUAUAGGUGAACAGCCAAAAUACAAAUAAAUAAAAGUUAAAAAACAAAGUAAAAUAACAAUACAGAAUAUAAAUCCAUAUAGAAAGAAUCCAACGCGUUUCGUCCCGUAGGGGUGUAGGACUUCUUCAGGGAUGUUUCUAUACUCUUUUUCUCCGGUUUUAAUACUGCUGCAAAUCUUCAUUUGAUUUCGUCCAUCUGUUGUACAGCGUGCGUUCCAUCCGUGGAACGCACAAAGGCGCGAAAUGCUCCGUAAUUCAGGAAAACAGUUCCGUGUUGUACAGCGCAUGUGUGUAAUAUACACGCAAACUGAAAUGUGCAAACUGAAAAAAGACCGAAACCU